UUUAUUUAAUCUAUUACAGAGAAUCUAAAGGACAGCAUUUGGGGACUGGAACAGUGUAUGAGAAAUUCAGAUCUCUUCUGAACUGAGAACAUGUGGCCAGAUAUUGAGUGCGUCACCACCCCAUGGGUGCAGAGUCCCCUGUGAUGCUGGUGUUAGCACACGGGACUCUUAGGGGCUCUUCGCUGUUGCAUUCAUUCAGAAACAGCAGAUUUCACAUUCAGGGUCUAAUGCAGAUGCAUUUACUUACUUGUAUCCUACUUUACAUAUAACAAAAUAAACUUUAAAAUCAGUAGUUAAAAGCCUCAGUCAAUAUGAGAGAUUGUGUAGACAUGAGAAAUUACUCCUCCAAUCCGAAUACUUCAAAACACUGAACAAAACUACAAUGACAAAACUAUUACUACAUAGGGAGUUCCGUUGUGGCUCAGGAGGUUACAAACCUCACUAGAAUCCAUAAGGAUGGAUUCCCGGCCUCACACAGUGGAUGUGGCAUUGCCAUGAGCUAUGGCAUAGGUCACCGACACGCUCGGAUCCCACGUUGCUGUGGCUGUUGCCGUAGGCUGGAAGCUGCAGCUCCAAUUUGACCCCUCGCCUGGGAAAUUCCUGAAAAAACAAAAACAAACAAACAAAAAAACUUACCAUAUAAAACAUAGAUAACAUGGAAAUCUCCAGAAAUAAAGAGGGUAGUCAAAGUAGAUGUAUCAGUGAGAGCUGAAGCUAAGGGGCUCAUGGAACGAUCCAGACCAGGUAGAAGUCUGAAUGGCUAGGGGCUGUAAUUGUAAUGACAUCAUUAACGACAUCUUUAAUGACAUUUAAUGCAUUUGAAUGCAGUGAGGGGAGUCCAGGUAAUGGCCACUGUAUGCCAGGAGCUGUUAGUGAAGCACUUACAUAAAGCUUGAGGUCAUAAAGGGCUGCUUCAUGAGUAAAAAUGCUAGAGGAACGUCAUUUACCAAUCUGAGGGAAACUGCAAGAAAGCUUGUCAUCUGCUUGGGCAAACAGAAGAAAAUGAGUGACUGAAAAAAACCCCUGAAAUCCAGACUUGUACCACAAUGCAGGAACAAGGUAUAAAUGCAUACAUUCAGGUUUUCAGGGCAUAUCUACCGAGACAUUAACAAAAAGGCUAGUUUGGAAUGGGUAAAACCCAGAGAGGACCAGCAGAAGCAAAUGUGAAAUCACUUUAUACAGAUAUGCUAGCAAUCUGAGGUAGAUAGGAUUUCUAUUGAAAAUAAUUCCUGAUGAAGAUGUAAGACACAAGAGGAAAUGAAUCAUAAUCAUAAAGAACUUAAUAAUGGAAAUAACAAAUAAUCUUUAAAAAAGUUGGGCUGUGGGAUGGAAAUCCUGUGAAAUCAGAUUGUUAUGAUCAUUAUACAACUACAGAUGUGAUAAAUUCAUUUGAGUAAUAAAAAAAAGUGUAAAAGAUAAAAAAAAGUAAAUUCUAGAAAUAAAAGUACAUAGACAUUAAAUUUUUUAAAAAGGCAGAUGGACUAAACAGUAGACUAAAUGCAGUUAAAAAAAUAAACUGGAAAAUGGAACGGAAAAAAAUCACUCAGAAUAUAGUUGAGAUAAAGAGAUAAGUACAGUUGACCCUUGAACAGUAUGAAUUUGAUCUGUGAGAAUCCACUUAUCUGCAGAUUUUUUUCAAGAGUAAAUACUACAAUACUACACAUUCCUCAAUUGGUUGAAACCUGAGAUGUGGCAUCACCAAUAUGGAGGAACUGCAGGCAUGAAGGGCCAGCUAAGUUAUACACAAAUUUCCAAUUGCACAGAGGAUCAGCACCCCAACACUGUUCACAGAUCAACCAUAGUAAGAUGAACUCUCAGACAUAGAAGACACAGAAGAUAAAAUGAGAAGGUUCAACAUUUGCCUAAUAGGUAUUUCAAAAGGAAAGAAUGGAGAGCAUGAGGGAUUCAAUAUCAGAGUAGGGGUUUUUGCCUCUUAUGUUCUUCCCUGUAUCUCUAGCACCUAGAAGCAUUCCUAAUACCGAGAAACACUAAAUGCUCAAUAAUUACUUUAAAACAGAUUUUUAGAGAAAGCAAUUGAGAAGGCUUUAGAUAUGAAAACAGAGAUGAGGCUUCAGAUUAAUGAGCCCACUGCAUUCCAAGCAGAAUAUAUAAAAACAGACUAUACCUGUGUGUGAGAUGGCACAACAUGAAAGACAAAAAGAUCAGACUGAAAGUCUCUAAGAGAGAAAAGAUAUCACCUACAAAAGAAUGACAGACCAAAAAGAGAUUUCUUGUAAGGAACAAUUGAGACCAAAAGACAGUGGUGUACUAUCUUACAAAAUGCUGAGGGAAAAAUAUCUGCUUAGAACUCUAUACCUUGAUAAGUUAUCUUUCAGGAGUGACAUGAAUAAAAACAUUUUCAAAACCGAAGUACACACAGCAUGGAAAGUAUUAAAACCCCAGACUUUCACUGAAAACGUUAUCAUUAGGAAGAAAAUGAACAUAGAAGUAAGGGAUGGUAUGUAAGAGGCAAGGUUGAGACAAGAAAUUGGUAAAGUUAAAUAAAUUUUGAUUAAAAAAAGAAAAAAAAGUAAAAAUAAUAAUGAUGACUAAUUGCAGGGGUAGGGAGAGGGUGAUACACAACACGGGACUAAACCACUAGACCACAUAACCAGGAAGAUGGGAAGAGGGGCAGAUUAGAUUAAAACCAUCUAAGGCCGUUGCAUUGUUGAGAGGAAAAUAGAGAAAUUUCUUAACUUUAGACUUUGUUAAAUGGAUGCACAUGUUAAAAAUGUAAGACUAACUACUAAAAGAAUACAAACAGAAUCUGUCUUUCAAAUCAGUUGACAGAAGAAAAGCAGGAAUAUAUACAAAACUUGGUCCAAUAAAACUAAUUUCUUUUUCUUUUCUUUUUAUGGCCACACAUGCAGCACAUGGAAGUUCCAGGAGCUAGGGGUUGAAUUGGAGCUGCAACUGACAAAAAAAAAAAAAAAAAUAGAAUUUAGGCAAAAGCAUUAACAGAAAUAAAGGAGGACAACAGAUAAUAUACAAAAUUCAUUCAGGGGAAAUAAUGAUCAGGACCUUGCAUAAACACUGAUGAAUUAUAAGGAGAAACUGAAAAAUUUUUCUUCCAAAAAGAGUGGAAGAUUUUAACAUUCUUUUCUCAGAAACUGAAAAGAACUCAAAAAUCAGGGGGAAAAAAUCAGGAAGAACAUGAGAAAUUUGAAAAACACAGUUAAUAAGUUUAACCUAUUAGACUGAUACAGAAUGCUGCAUCCAUCAAGUAGAGAGCAUAUUUUUCUUUUAAAGCACACAUGAAGUAUUUGGGAGAAAAGUUUAUAUAAUUGUACACAAAGAGUUGCUAUAAUACAGACCAUGCUGUAUCAUUUAAAAGAAGAAAAAAAAAAAACUUAAGUUAAAAAUGGAAAAUUAAUCCAUGGGUUAAAAAGGAAAUACAAGGGAGUUCCCGUCGUGGCACAGUGUUUAACGGAUCUGACUGGGAACCAUGGGGUUGCAGGUUCGAUCCUUGGCCUCGCUCGGUGGGUUAGGGAUCCAGCGUUGCCCUGAGCUGUAGUGCAGGUCUCGGAUGUGGCUCGGAUUCCACAUUGCUGUGGCUGUGGCUGUGGCUGUGGUGUAGGCCGGCAGCUACAACUCCGAUUAGACCCCUAGCCUGGGAACCUCCACAUGCCUCAGGAGUGGCCCUAGAAAAGGCAAAAAGACAAUAAAAUAAAAUAAAAUCUUUUCACUGUUCUUUCCCUAUCCAGUCAAACUCUCAUUUGUAAGGGCAAAAUAAAGACAUUUUCAAGAAUACAAAUAUUUUAAAGUUUACCAAAGACCUUCUAUGAAAGAACUUCCAAAUUUCCAUUGAUGUGAACUCAGAAGGAAGAAGUGGGAUAUCAGAAGUCACAGCCUCCAAAAUGCAUUGAGUAAAUAAAACAGUAUAAAGUAGGUGAGAAAAGUGGGACUAAGGAGAAGUAUACAUAGGAAACAGAAGGUAUAUGUUAUUAGUUAUUCAAAGUACAGGCCAUGAAAUCCUACGCAUAUGCUAGAAGUAGGCCACUAAGUUGGCUCUGUGCUUCCUUUUGGCCAAAUAAGAGAUAGGAAACAUCAAUUAAAGGAUUCACACACAGCAUCUACAAGGCAAAACAAACAAGUUAUUCACAAGAACUAUUCCUGGCACUGAGACCACAAAGACAUUCGUCAUACAGUUAAACGGAUACAAGAUCGGGGACUUUGGGCCAAAUGAGAUAAUUUAGGAAAGAGGUCACUAACUCUUAAAAUUUUUCUCAACAGGGUCAUUUAGAAGCAUUACCCUUACAGAAAUCUCUUCCUCAAGGAAUAAAAGAGAUAAAGUUUCCUACUUACGGCAUGUUAUUUGAAUGACCAGGCAUUUUAGAAAUGCCCAUCUUUAGGUAUAUGUUCCAGGAAAAGGAUAGAUAAGGUGACCUCUGGGGGCCUGGCUGCCUGUGAGGAGACAUGGUGGUUCAGGAUGUAGGCUUUUUCCCAGGCUAUGCCCAGAAUAUUUCCAUCUCCACUAGGCUGGUCCAUCUUGCCAAUGCAUGGGAUCACCCACAUAGCCAGGCUUCCAAAAACUAGUUGGAAGCAAAAGCUUUUCCUCUCUCUUUCCUGUUCCAUGGUAAAUCCUUAACCUACCUAUCUGGACAUUCUAUAUAAAGCAUAGAUAAGUGGGAGCCUGGCAGCUUUCCCUGAGCCUUCAAAUCCUUCUUACUCCCCUGACAAUACUAAGAACAAUGAAAGCCCAUGUUGGUAGAGCUCUGAAGACACAAUUUGCUGAUCUUUAAAAAUCCUACCUUCUACCAGGACUGCUCCAGAAUCCCAUGGGGUUCCUGGAAUUCCAGGCUGGCUGGGAAGCCUCUGAGGAAUUCUGGAUUAUUUCUCAUAGGUACAGCUGGCUCCCAUGGGAAGGUGAGCUACCUCUGACUAAGGACUUUCAAGGAGAAGUGACAGUGGGAGAUGGAAGAGGUGGGAGACAGAGCAUUAUACAAUUAAUCAAAAUAUCAGUUCUAAUAAAGCACAAAUUACUCUCCCUUCCUUUUCUAUUUUUUUUCUUAUAAUUAAAAUAAAAGUAUAUGUGCAGAGAGAUGGUAGACAAUAGUGACUGAGAUGCAUAGACUUUGGCUACUGACCUGAAUUCAAGAUUUGACUCCAGCACAUGCAACCUUGGUAAGUUUCCUCUCUGAUUCUAGCUUCUGAAUCUGACAUCAAGAGAAUAAUAAUAGUAUUUACUUCAGAGUGUUUUAAAAUGAAAUAUAGUAUACAUGUGCUUUAUACUCAAAUGUUACUGUAAAAAAGUUGGGAAAUACAGGCAAGCACAAAGAAAAUCAAAAGUACCUAUAAUCUCACCAUCCAUUUCAAUGCACAUAAUUCAAAUAUGGGGGGGGGGCAUAUUUUUAAAGCAUGAGAUCAAUGCUACUUCAUAACUUGCUUUUAAAUUUUAACAUCAUACCCUAAGCAUGCCUAUAUAAUUUGGGAUUCUUGCAUAACAUGAUUUUAAAAGCCCACGUCAUAUUCCCUUAGGUUAUUUUACUUGUCAUUUACUUUAAAAUAAGCCCUGCCCUCCUUCCUUCUCUGAGGUUCCUACACUUCAUCUACUGCCAAGUCAUCUGACCCUUCCAGAUAGUUGACUGCUUUCUAUUGGCUACCUGGAGAUGCUGCCUUCAUCUCACCAUCGAGACCACCUGCUCUUCAGUCAGGGGCACAUUGGAGCCUUCAUUACAUCCCCAGUGUCCAGAGCAGCCUAACUGGAGCUGCACAGGCAACCCUCAUGACUGAUGGCAAACCACCCAGUUUAACAAGAUUCCAUUAAUUGGUACAAAAGCUGAACAAGGCAGAAAGGUGAUUUCAUUCCAAAUAGUAUAAGGGCAUUAAAUUCUGGGGCAUUCUGCAGCACUGAAUACACGUUAAAAAUUCUCAGGAAGAGGAAGAGACUGAAGAUUUUUAUCUGAGUGCAUUGUUUUUCCAAACACCAGAGCUAAAUAAGUUCAAAAACUUUUUUUUUUUUUUUUUUGCAGCAUAUGGAGGUUCCCAGGCUAGGGGUCUAAUCAGAGAUACAGCUGCUGGCCUACACCACUGCCUCAGCCACACCAGAUCCAAACCACGUCUGUAACCUAUACCAUAGCUCACAACAACACCAGAGCCUUAACCCACUGAGCGAGGUCAGGGAUCGAACCCAUAACCUCAGGGUUCCUAGUCGGAUUUGCUUCCGAUGCAUCACAACAGCAACUCCACAAAUUCAAAACUUUUAAUGACUUUCUUUUUAAAUGGAAGUCACAAGACUGUCUCAGCAAUGACAUUCGAGAUCACAGCAAAACUUUUCUAAUUCAUACUAAUGAGGAACUGCCAAACUCAAUCAGCAAAGAAAAAUGAAUUACAUCCUUUUGAAAAUAAAGGGGUUUCUUUCCAAUGCAAUUCAUUUGAUUAAAAAGUUUUAUUUCCAAAUAGUUCAGUACCUUGACCUGUUUUGAUGGGUUGUUCAGAACCUGAUAUGUUACAACCAUAUUUAUUGUCUGUAUAGUAACAGGAAUAGCUGAAAUUCUUGAGAAGUGCAUUCUCUCUAAAAACAAUAAAAUUUCAACUCUCCCUAUGAUCCUGCUCACAUAGCUCACUCCUUAGGAAAGCUUUUUCUUCAUCAGUCAUGUGGAAGCAAACCCCAGCUCAUGUUGCCCCCCUCCCCACAACCAACCCGGCUGCUCCAGUUCUGAGUGGGCAGAGGUCUGAAGUAUCAACCCAGAUAAAUCCCUAAAAAAAAAAAAAAAAAAA
rnacentral:lncRNA from 1 species